rnacentral:lncRNA from 1 species
AUGCUGAAUACUCCGGGGAAUCCUUUUUUUUUUUUUUUUUUUAAUAUCUAUUUUACCCCUUCGGGAAUCCUGAGAACGGCGCGGCAGUGGAAACGGGCUCAGGCGACCUGUCCCGCCAGGCAGUUGUCGCACAGCACCCCCGCCCGCAUCAUCCCAGCGAGGCCUGCGUGUCCUCUGCACACCACCAGUGCAGGUGGGGCCCUUCCUGUCUGGGAGUCCCUGCUCUCCGCAGCUGGGGGGACAAAGCCUCCACUGGGGCUCAGCCAUCACCCAGGAGUUCCCUGGGGUCAGAGCCUGGAGGAAGAGUGCCCCGAACCUGCUGACCCUCUCUGGCCCAGAGCUGUGGACACUGCUGGUUCUGUGAGUUUGUUUUCCUGGUUGAGCAACACCAGACGAUGGUGUUGGGCCAAAACUGGUCCCAUAUUAUGCUACUAUAUCUUACUCCAUUGCCCAGGCUGGAGUGCACUGACACAAUCACGGCUCACUGCAGCCUUGACUUUCCCGGCUCAAGGGAUCCUCCCACCUCAGCCUCCUGAGUAGCUGCUUACUAGGCACAUGCCACCAUUCCUGGUUAACUUUUGUAUUUUUGGUAGAGAUGGGGUUUCACCAUGUUGCCCAGGCUGGUCUUGAACUCCUGGGCUCAAUCUAUCUGCCCUCCUCCACCCCCCAAAGUGCAAAGGGAUUACAGAUGUGAGCCACUGUGUCCAACCAUCUUAUGCUGUUGCAUCUUGGCGAAUGAAAUGGCCUGACUUUCCCCUCUGGCAGACCCUGAUUUUAAUGAGCCAGUGCUGUGUUGUGGCCACAGCAGGUGUUCAGGAAGGGCAAGGCGGAGCUGUCAGCAGGGCUCUUGGCAUGGGCAAACCCAGGCCUCAGCGGGGUGUCCAUGCUGCUGUGGCACCCUGCCACUGUAGCAGCUCAGGGUCCUGGAGAGCAGGUGCUAGAGAGUGUGGUGGCUCUGCCACACACACACACGAGGCCCAACACUCCCACUACAGACAAGACAGACAGAUGGUGGUGCUCACAGAGGACUCCAUGCCACCGCUGUGUCUGCCACUUGGGAAAGUCUCUUCUCCUCUGGACUGUUCCUUUACUGCAUGACCUCACUCUGCCCCUUCUGUUCUCAAUCCCUGCAGCGUUCCUAGUGUUUACAGGGCCCUUCGCUCCAUUCCUCUUGGGAUGCUGCAGAGCAAAGUGGUUAAGGGUGAGGGUUCCUCUGCCUGAUUACCUGAGUCUGUGUAAUCUGGGGCAAAGCACUUCACCUCUCUGUGCCUCAGCGUCCUCAUUUCUAAAAUGGGGAGAAGUAAGAGGCCCUGUCUCACAAGAUUAAAUGAGACAGUGCAUGUAAAGGAUGCUAGCCAUGUGGUAAGCCCUUACUAAAUAGUAGCUAUUAUUAUUAUUAUUAGAGACAGAGUCCCACUCUGUUGCCCAGGCUGGAGUGCAGUGGCAUGAUAUUGGCUCACUGCAACCUCCACUUCCUGGGUUCAAGCGAUUUUCCUGCCUCAGCCUCCCAAGUAGCUGAGAUUACAGGCAUGUGCCACCAAACCUGGCUAAUUUUUGUUUGUUUGUUUAAUAAAGACGGGGUUUCACCAUGUUGGCUAGACUGGUCUUGAACUCCUGACCUCAGAUGUUCUGCCUGCCUGGGUCUUCCAAAGUGCUGUGAUUACACAUGUGAGCCACCACACGUGGCCUAGUAGAUAUCAUUAUUGCUAUAACUCUUUUUUUUUUUUUUUUUUUUGAGACAGGGACUUGCUCUGUCGCUCAGGCUGGAGUGCAGUGGUGUGAUCACUGCUCACUGCAGCCUCAACACUCUGGGCUCAAGGGAUCCUCCUGCCUCAGCCUCCCAAAUAGCUGGGACUAGAGGCAUGUGCCACCAUGCCCAGCUAUUUUUAUUUUUUUAUUUUAUUUUAAAGACAGAGUUUCACUCUUGUUGCCCAGGCUGGAGUGCAAUGGUGUGAUCUUGGCUCACCACCACAACCUCCGCCUCCCGGGUUCAAGGGAUUCUCCCACCUUAGCCUCCUGAGUAGCUGGGAUUACAGGUAUGCACCACCACGCCUGGCUAAUUUUGUAUUUUUAGUAGAGAUGGGGUUUCUCCAUGUUGGUCAGGCUGAUCUUGAACUCCCGACCUCAGAUGAUCUGCCUACCUCAGCCUCCCAAAGUGCUGGGAUUACAGGCAUGAGCCACCACGCCCAGCCUAUAUAUAUAUAUAUAUAUAUAUAUAUAUAUAUUUUUUUUUUUUUUUUUUUUUAAUUUUUAGUAGAGAUGAGGUCUCGCUUUCUUGCCCAGGCUGAUCUUGAACUCCUGGGCUCAAGUGAUCCUCCUGCCUUGAUCUCCCAAAGUGCUGGGAUUACAGGCAUGAGCCACCAGGCCUGGCUAUUGCUAUUAUUCUUGAUUAACAAUAAAAAGAGAAGGAGCUCUUACUAAUUGCCAAGCAAUGUGCUAAACUCUAGAUGAUCCUUUUCUUGUUUGGUCCCUUCAACAACUCUGUGAGGCAAGUGCUAUUAUUAGCUCCGUAGCUGGGAAGAGGAAGCUCAGGUACAAUGGUGUUAAGUAACUUACCCAGGGUGACAGAGCUAAGAAGCAGCAGCUCUGAAUCAGAACCAGAGUAUGGCCACUGCGAAGUCUCACGACCUGCUCCUCUCCACUGAAAGAAGAUUUCACCAUAGGAAGGAGGAGCUUCUCUCCAGCUGGUUGUCCUGAAUAGAUUUGAGAGGCCUAGAAGAAGAUCGUAUUGAGGGGACAGAACCCCCACAUCCCCAGCUAGAGCAGAAGGAGGGGUUUGGGCUCAAAGGAAGUGAAGUUUUUUUUUCUUUUACAGCUAUCGAUGAAACCACUUCGUACGGUAGGCUGUGGUCUUAUGGAUGGCCUCCGAAAGGUAUCACCAAGGGUUUUUUGGUUGUUUUUUUGAGAGGGAGCCUCGCUCUGUCACUCAGGCUGGAGUGCAGUGGCUCGAUCUCGGCUCACUGCAGCCUCCGCCUCCCAGGUUCAAGCGAUUCUUCUGCCUCAGCCUCCCUAGUAGCUGAGAUUAUAGGUACGCACUACCACACUCGACUAAUUUUUUGUAUUUUUAGUAGAGACAGGGUUUCGCCAUGUUGACCAGGCUGGUCUCAAACUUGACUUCAAGUGAUCCACCACCUCGGCCUCCCAAAGUGUUGGGGUUAAAGGUGUGAGCCACCACGCCUGGCCUUUUUUUUUUUUUUUUUUUUUUCUUUUAGAGACAGGAUCUCACUCUGUCACCCAGGCUGGAGUGCAGUGACACAAUCUCAGCUCACUGCAGCCUUGACUUCCCAGGCUCAAGCCAUCCUCCCACCUCAGCUCCCAAGUAGCUGGGACUACAGACGUGUGCCACCACUCUUGCUAACUUUUGUAUUUUUUUUUUUUUUGGAGAUGGAGUUUCACUCUUGUUGCCCGGGCUGGAGUGCAAUGGCAUGAUCUCAGCUCACUGCAACCUCUGCCUCCCGCGUUCAAGCGAUUUUCCUGCCUCAGCCUCCCUGAAUAGCUGGGAUUACAGGCAUGAGCCACCACGCCCAGC